AGAGUUUGAUCCUGGCUCAGGACGAACGCUGGCGGCACGCUUAACACAUGCAAGUCGAACGAGAGAAGAGGAGCUUGCUUUUCUGAUCUAGUGGCGGACGGGUGAGUAACACGUGAGCAAUCUGCCUUUCAGAGGGGGAUACCGAUUGGAAACGAUCGUUAAUACCGCAUAACAUAAUUGAACCGCAUGAUUUGAUUAUCAAAGAUUUAUCGCUGAAAGAUGAGCUCGCGUCUGAUUAGCUAGUUGGUAAGGUAACGGCUUACCAAGGCGACGAUCAGUAGCCGGACUGAGAGGUUGAUCGGCCACAUUGGGACUGAGACACGGCCCAGACUCCUACGGGAGGCAGCAGUGGGGAAUAUUGCACAAUGGAGGAAACUCUGAUGCAGCGAUGCCGCGUGAGGGAAGAAGGUUUUAGGAUUGUAAACCUCUGUCUUCAGGGACGAAAAAAGACGGUACCUGAGGAGGAAGCUCCGGCUAACUACGUGCCAGCAGCCGCGGUAAUACGUAGGGAGCGAGCGUUGUCCGGAAUUACUGGGUGUAAAGGGAGCGUAGGCGGGAUCGCGAGUCAGAUGUGAAAACUAUGGGCUUAACCCAUAAACUGCAUUUGAAACUGUGGUUCUUGAGUGAAGUAGAGGUAAGCGGAAUUCCUAGUGUAGCGGUGAAAUGCGUAGAUAUUAGGAGGAGCAUCAGUGGCGAAGGCGGCUUACUGGGCUUUAACUGACGCUGAGGCUCGAAAGCGUGGGGAGCAAACAGGAUUAGAUACCCUGGUAGUCCACGCCGUAAACGAUGAUUACUAGGUGUGGGGGGACUGACCCCUUCCGUGCCGCAGCAAACGCAAUAAGUAAUCCACCUGGGGAGUACGACCGCAAGGUUGAAACCCAAAGGAAUUGACGGGGGCCCGCACAAGCAGUGGAGUAUGCGGAUUAAUUCGAAGCAACGCGAAGAGCCUUACCAGGUCUUGACAUCGUAUGCAUAGCUCAGAGAUGAGUGAAAUCUCUUCGGAGACAUAUAGACAGGUGGUGCAUGGUUGUCGUCAGCUCGUGUCGUGAGAUGUUGGGUUAAGUCCCGCAACGAGCGCAACCCUUACUGUUAGUUGCUACGCAAGAGCACUCUAGCAGGACUGCCGUUGACAAAACGGAGGAAGGUGGGGAUGACGUCAAAUCAUCAUGCCCCUUAUGACCUGGGCCUCACACGUACUACAAUGGCUGUCAACAGAGGGAAGCAAAGCCGCGAGGU
rnacentral:rRNA from 1 species